GGGGAAUCUUCCGCAGUGGACGAAAGUCUGACGGAGCAACGCCGCGUGAGUGAUGACGGCCUUCGGGUUGUAAAGCUCUGUUAAUCGGGACGAAAGGCCUUCUUGCGAAUAGUUAGAAGGAUUGACGGUACCGGAAUAGAAAGCCACGGCUAAAUACGUGCCAGCAGCCGCGGUAAUACGUAGGUGGCAAGCGUUGUCCGGAAUUAUUGGGCGUAAAGCGCGCGCAGGCGGAUUGGUCAGUCUGUCUUAAAAGUUCGGGGCUUAACCCCGUGAUGGGAUGGAAACUGCCAAUCUAGAGUAUCGGAGAGGAAAGUGGAAUUCCUAGUGUAGCGGUGAAAUGCGUAGAUAUUAGGAAGAACACCAGUGGCGAAGGCGACUUUCUGGACGAAAACUGACGCUGAGGCGCGAAAGCCAGGGGAGCGAACGGGAUUAGAUACCCCGGUAGUCCUGGCCGUAAACGAUGGGUACUAGGUGUAGGAGGUAUCGACCCCUUCUGUGCCGGAGUUAACGCAAUAAGCACCCCGCCUGGGGAGUACGACCGCAAGGUUG
rnacentral:rRNA from 1 species